rnacentral:rRNA from 1 species
CAGUGGGGAAUAUUGCACAAUGGGCGAAAGCCUGAUGCAGCGACGCCGCGUGAGGGAUGACGGCCUUCGGGUUGUAAACCUCUUUCAGCAGGGAAGAAGCGCAAGUGACGGUACCUGCAGAAGAAGCACCGGCUAACUACGUGCCAGCAGCCGCGGUAAUACGUAGGGUGCGAGCGUUGUCCGGAUUUAUUGGGCGUAAAGAGCUCGUAGGCGGCUUGUCGCGUCGGAUGUGAAAGCCCGGGGCUUAACUCCGGGUCUGCAUUCGAUACGGGCAGGCUAGAGUGUGGUAGGGGAGAUCGGAAUUCCUGGUGUAGCGGUGAAAUGCGCAGAUAUCAGGAGGAACACCGGUGGCGAAGGCGGAUCUCUGGGCCAUUACUGACGCUGAGGAGCGAAAGCGUGGGGAGCGAACAGGAUUAGA